UACGGAGGGUGCGAGCGUUGUCCGGAAUCAUUGGGCGUAAAGAGCGUGUAGGCGGCUCGAUAAGUCCGCUGUGAAAGUCGGGGGCUCAACCCUCGAAUGCCGGUGGAUACUGUCGGGCUAGAGUGCGGGAGAGGCGAGUGGAAUUCCUGGUGUAGCGUGGAAUGCGCAGAUAUCAGGAGGAACACCAAUAGCGAAGGCAGCUCGCUGGGACGUUACUGACACUGAGGCGCGAAAGCGUGGGGAGCGAACAGG
rnacentral:rRNA from 1 species